AGCCCUUUCUUUAUUGUUUUUACAGCUAAAAAGCUGCAAUUUGUUUUCUCAGCACUGACAUAGAAACACGUAUCUACAAAAAGAAGUUACAGAAAUGCUUUCUUUGCUUAUGCCGCGACAGGUUGAACCAGACCUUCACUUGGACUUGGGGCAGCAACGUCCUCAGCGGCAUUUGUUCUCUCUCUUGACAGGUACUUGUCAACAGCUGCCGCAGCUUCCCUCCCCUCUGCGAUUGCCCAAACAACCAGUGAUUGUCCACGCCUGCAGUCUCCAGCAGCAAACACACCCUCCACAUUAGUCGCAAAGUUCCCAAACUGAGCCAUGAAGUUUGAUCGCUUGUCUUGCUCUAAACCCAGUUUCUUGGCAAUGUCCUGCAGAAGGAUAGGCAUUAUUUUGUUAGUUGAUCCAAAAUCAAAUAUCUGCUAGUACCACACUAAUCUUUUACGGGAAAUAGGUUGGGAAACUAACCGCUACGUUCCAUGACCGUGUCACACAUGAAACAAUCAAAUUAAUCAAUGUAAUGCAGCUAGUCUUGUACGCCAGUUCUUGUGGACAGCACACGCAUGUAUUCAAAGCUGGAAUUCCAGGUUCUCAAGCAGUAACAACAGGAACCUGAAACUGAAUUCACAUUUAACUAACAUAGGAACUGGCAGCAUUGGAGGGAAUGGCCCUCGAUUCAACACCAAAAAACUACCUAGGUUACAGAGAAUACAAUGGUAUCCUAUAUAAAUCUCCUAUGCAUACAUGAUACAACAAUGCCAACUCAAUGCCUCACGACGAGAUCAAGAAAACUCGACUAACAAUGCAUUAACCUCUCUAAUUGAUCAUAAUCGUUUAAUCGCACUUCCUUUGUAGAGUACAUGAUAAAUUAGACACUAUCCCUGGCAGUGCAGUGCGCCCCAAUUUUCUUCUCAGAUGUCAUAAAAACUGUACCCAAUCAAGGUGACGACUGACGAGAAAACUUCAGAGUCAGUCAGCCAACUUCCAGAGGCCUCCGUUUGUCACCUUUGAAGGAACUGAUUUCUCACGGUAUUGCAGAUCUCAUCUGCCACACCAGCGUUUUCAUGUAGGAAUUUCUCAGCAUCCGCCUUGCCAGGCAGGAACACGCCGUUGAUCCAAUACCCAGAUCCAUCCUUCACAACAACUCCGACAGAGGAAGCCAUCUCCAGGAUCUCAGAUUCAUGGCAGAUCCCCUUCCCAAAUCUGAUGUCGAUGCUGGCUUCCUUCAGACUCGCUGGUGCUAAUUUGUUCUUGAUGAUCUGCACUGAUAUACCAAUGCCAGUAGCCUGCAUAAGCACACUACCAUUAGUAUCAGUGUAAGUUUGAUGUGUUAUCAUGAGGCUGUGUGAAAGACCCCUACCUGGUCUUCACUAUAGCGCAGUUCCCUUCUUGAAGUCCUCAUUCUGACUGCAGCAUAAAAUCCUAACGCGUUACCACCGCAAGGCACCUCCUUGUAGAUCCCAGGAAACGGAUUUGAGCUCAACUUUGUUCUGACCUACAAAUAUCACCAAUAAAUAAAGCCAAAGUAAGGCAGAAACAUCGUUGCCCAUAUGUUAAAAGAAAUCAAGACAUAUAAAUGAUGUCAUACCUGAUUCACAAAAAUAAUAAGUGAUUCAGAGCGACACAAAGUGUACUGAAUUUUCCUAAGCGCCUGAGUCAUCAAACGGGAUUGAAUGUCUUCAGAAUUAGUGUAUAUUUCGCCUUCUAUUUCACAUUUGGGAAUAAGUGCUGCCACCUGUCACAAGUCCAAUAAAAUCAAGGUAAACAUAACAUGGUGUCAGUACCACACACAUAAAGAGGUAGAUAUGCCCAGACAGUGGUAUGCAUCUGAACCACAGGGAUGCCUAUCAGCAAUUCUUAGAUCCAUAUUCUAGCUUUGUGUUACUUGGGAGAGCAUACUCUUCAUAAUAAGUAAGGAACUGAAACACAUAACAGAAAAAUAUACUGAAAAUGACAUAGGGAAGUAACAUACACUAUCCACAACAACAACAGCAACAGAUCCACCAACAAGAGUGUUUACAAUGCUCAAAGAAUUUUCAGCGGAAUCAGGUUGGGCUAUUAAGAGCCUUUCACUGUCUACACCAAUGGCUUCUGCAAAUGAAGGGUUAAAAGCGUUUUCUGCAUCAAUAUAAGCACAAUAACCUGCAAAUAUGCCAGUCACAAUGAAAAUCAGUUAUUCCAUUCAGUAAUAAGAGAAGGAAAUAUUAAAUGUCUUGCGCAAACAAAGGCAAUAAGAUUUUUUCAAUAGAUUCGUCUAUCUGAAUAGUAAGAACAGGGGAACACUUGCUGAUAAUCUUUACCGAUGCUUGUAAAGUAAAGUAAUAAAAUCUGGCAAGCAGAUGAUAAAUGUAUUGAUAAAAGAUUGCAGUAAUACUAGGUAACUCCCAAGUAUAAAAUAAGUCAAUAAAAUGGAGAAAAUAUUUCAGGAGUACUAUAAAACAAAAUAGUAAACAGAAAUAUGCGCAAACAUUAAAAAAAAGGAGAAAAAAGGGGCAUCAGAAAACAAACUCGGACCUCCAUUCUUUUGAGCUUCCUUGACAACAUGAAGUGCAAGUGUUGUCUUCCCAGAUGCCUCUUUCCCAAAUAUCUCCACCAUUCUACCCUGUAGAGAUAUUCCAAUCAGUAAUUUGCCAAGCAGGGCCAAAAAUACAUAAUGAUACAACAUCAAGUUCCAUAUAAUAUACUGCCACGGAUCAAAUUUCUCAAAGUGUUGAUAUUCAACACUGCUGACCAGAGAAAGACAGCAAAGAAGACAUGGAAAAUUAUGAUGGCAACAUUUCUAGUCAAGACAUCCUCUCAAAAAGAAAUUUUAGGCAAGAGAUGAGCAUGAAUGUGUUCUGGUGCUUAUACUUUAUGAGCAGAGAUGCUGAAGACAAAAUGCACUUUUGUAGAGGCUAAGUAUAACUAAACUAGCAUGCUUACCAAUUGCAAAGAAAGGAACCUUUGCGACUAAUGAUUAGGUCGACGUGAUGCAUAGAGUAGAUAGGCAUCAAAAGAUACAAAGAACCAGAUGAAUAAUCAAUGACUGUUGAACUGUAUGGUAUCCAUUAAGUGUAUAUGAAUACUCAAUAAAGUAUAAAGUGAAUACCUCAAGAAAUACAAAACAACAAAGUAUCAUACUAAUACUUAAAAAUGAUAUGGUAACACAUUAUGACCUUUGGUAAUCCUCCAAUGCCGAGAGCAAGAUCAAGCUUAAGAGAACCAGUAGAGAUGACAGAUGCACGUCUUGUACGGGAAAAUCGCUCCAAACAUAGAUUAGAUUCUCUAUCAAAAUCACUUGCAAGUUGAGAGACAGCAACAUUUAGUGAUGACUCCUUCUCAAGAGCUUUUGCUUCAUCAAGUGGGAUAUCAGUCUCAUAGUCUAUCUGCAUAUCAACUGGGAAUUUGUACAUACUCCUGAGUAACAUUGCAACUCAUAAGGUAGUGUGGAUACAGAACGCCAGAGAAUAACUGUAUAACGUUGGAAAUAAUCAAUUAUCUUAUAUGUACUUUAAAAAGUUGCUUCGUUCAGGAACAGUAAAGGUGGGAUCUUUUAUGGUAGAAACAAUAAACAUUAACAAACAUUUGAGCAAUGAUUUGGUAAAUGGGUAUACCUGUGGUUGACAUCGAACGACCUUUAGACCAAAAAGAACAAAAUGCCUCUCUUUUCCCAUUCUAGCAAAUCAGAGAGAAGAAAAGGUGAUCAGCAAUCUGUGCAAAUAUCUUGAAGUAUGAGCAAGUUAAGCAUUCUGGAACUCCACUUAUGAAGGCAUAAAGUCAGUGAGACAUAUACGAAACAGCAAAGCAGCACAUAAACUAAAAGCCACCAUUCUCACGAAGUGGAAAAACGCUAGGAAUAGCACUAUUUUACAGCGCACAGUGCUUAUUAUCUUCAUCUGUCAUACUGCUAUGCUAGUAGCUUAUGCACAUGAGCAGUACACUCAUGUUUAAUCCAACACGGGCAAUUUACGACAACAAUUAGCAAAAAGUUAUUCUCUGUCUGAUUCAAAAGUCUCCAUUACAAAAAAAAAAAAAGAUCCCCAGCACAUGGAAACAAACCACAAGCCCAGACGCGAUGGAGCGGCAGAGAGAUGUUGGGGCAAACCUGGUGGGGAAAGCGGCGGAGAGGAGAGGGUGCGGAUGUUGUGGCGUUACUCCAGCCCGCGCGGGAGAGCUGGGCGGCGGCGCCGGCGGCUUGUCGGAGGAGAGUGGAGGAAGAGGAGAGCAGCCCUCGCAUGGCGGCGGCGGUCGCGGAUCAGUGGGUCGCGCGCGCGCUGCUGAGCUGCCUCUGUCGGCCGGCCCGUCGCUGGGCUAUUCCUUCUUUCUCUAGCGAAGCGUGAUUCGGCCCAACUCAGAUUGGCCGGCCGUGGACGCGGCCUGGUGCCGUGGGCCGGAGAAUGUUCUCCUCCCUUCCAACAUCACCUUGGAAUUUAAACUUUCGCACCUGAUUCGUCCUGCUUCUUGGAGAGCUCGGACCGCCGCCACCGGCCGUGGAGGAGGCCGGGACUGGCCACUGGCGUGGCGGCGGCGUGGGCGAGGCGAAGGCGUGGCGGCGGCGUGGGCGAGGCGAAGGCGUGGCCUGCCGUGGACGAGGCGAGGCGGAGGCGUGGCCUGCCGUGGACGAGGCGUGGCGGUGGCGUGGCCGGCCGUGACGGCGGCGCGCGAGGCGGAGGCGUGGCGGCGGGGGAAGUGGGAGCUAGUUGACGGUGAUAGUUUGUCAGACAGAACGCAACAAAACUAAGGCUCUAUUUCGUUUAAGGUCAAACAUAUUGCAAUCGCCUAUAAGAUCUAUUGUAGUAUGAAAAGCUGAAGGGGCUAAAUAUUCUUCACCGUUCAAGGUCAAUCUCCGCUACGUGUUCUUUAAAAUUCCCCCUCACCAUUCGCCCAAAGUUUCAGUCUACGACGAAGAACAGCCAUUCAUAUAGUCUUGCAAGAAAUAGCUAGUAAUUACUGGUCAAGCAGGCAGUGUAAAUUCAAUCAAGAUUUAAGAAUGGAUGGUGCUAUUCUUAUUACCGUACUGUUAUUUUAAGCAUCUGUCGUCAAAACAAGAAUUAGACGCCAGGGCAGGCAUUUGCUAUCUACUGAUCUCAGAUGACAACGACAUCCUCUCUAGACUAAUGGUGCAUGACUUUGAUCCAAUCAUACAAAAGGCACAAAAACAGUUAGGCAACACCAGACCAUGUCAUGCAGGGAUGAUAGGGUAAUUUAGGAACACAUAAAAGCAUAGGUAGUAGCAGACACCACAGGACUGGUUACACUUACAGAACCAAUAUACUCAUUUUCAUUGAAUUGAUCCCUCUCUUAUCAAUGAUACAAAAUUUUUAAAACUCCAAAGUUUUUGUGUGGUAGUAUCAGCUCUAUACAUGCACCCGAGGAGAGAUACAGUUUAAUAAAUAAUUGUUAACAAUUUUUGCAUCUAUAAGAUAUACAUUGAUCCUACAACUACGAACCGGCAUUUCCUCACAAGCAGGAAAGAACAGCAUAUAUGCACCCAAAAGAAUUUCCUACUGCUGUCAACCUAAUACCUAAUUUAUAACACAAGGGUUAUCAUUUCUCUAUGCUAAACGAGCCCUUUCUUUAUUGUUUUUACAGCUAAAAACCGCAAUUUGUUUUCUCAGCACUGAAGUGGAAAAACAUAUCUACAAAAGUUACAGAAAUGCUUUCUUUGCUUAUGCCGCGACAGGUUGAACCAGACCUUCACUUGGACUUGGGGCAGCAACGUCCUCAGCAGCAUUUGUUCUCUCUCUUGACAGGUACUUGUCAACAGCUGCCGCAGCUUCCCUCCCCUCUGCGAUUGCCCAAACAACCAGUGAUUGUCCACGCCUGCAGUCUCCAGCAGCAAACACACCCUCCACAUUAGUCGCAAAGUUCCCAAACUGAGCCAUGAAAUUUGAU
rnacentral:lncRNA from 1 species